rnacentral:rRNA from 1 species
CAACUACGUGCCAGCAGCCGCGGUAAGACGUAGGGCGCGAGCGUUGUCCGGAUUUAUUGGGCGUAAAGAGCUCGUAGGCGGCUUGUCGCGUCGACUGUGAAAACCCGCAGCUCAACUGCGGGCUUGCAGUCGAUACGGGCAGGCUAGAGUUCGGUAGGGGAGACUGGAAUUCCUGGUGUAGCGGUGAAAUGCGCAGAUAUCAGGAGGAACACCGGUGGCGAAGGCGGGUCUCUGGGCCGAUACUGACGCUGAGGAGCGAAAGCGUGGGGAGCGAACAGGAUUAGAUACCCUGGUAGUCCACGCUGUAAACGUUGGGCGCUAGGUGUGGGGGGCCUCUCCGGUUCCCUGUGCCGCAGCUAACGCAUUAAGCGCCCCGCCUGGGGAGUACGGCCGCAAGGCUAAAACUCAAAGGAAUUGACGGGGGCCCGCACAAGCGGCGGAGCAUGCGGAUUAAUUCGAUGCAACGCGAAGAACCUUACCUGGGUUUGACAUGGCCGUAAAACCGGCAGAGAUGUCGGGUCCUUCGGGGGCGGU